AUUGAACGCUAGCGGGAUGCUUUACACAUGCAAGUCGAACGGCAGCGCGGUCUUCGGUCUGGCUGCGAGUGGCGAACGGGUGAGUAAUGUAUCUGAACGUGCCCAGUAGCGGGGGAUAACUACGCGAAAGCGUAGCUAAUACCGCAUACGCCCUACGGGUGAAACCAGGGGAUCGUAAGACCUUGCACUCUUGGAGGGGUCGAUUUCGGAUUAGCUAGUUGGUUAGGUAACGGCUCGCCAAGCCGACGAUCCGUAGCUGGUUUGAGAGGACGACCAGCCACACUGGGACUGAGACACGGACAAGACUACUGCGAGAGGCAGCAGUGGGGAAUUUUAGACAAUGGGGGCAACCCUGAUACAGUCAGCCCGCGUGUGCGAUGAAAGCCUUGGGGUUGUAAAGCACUUUUGGGAGGAGAGAACCGUCGCGGGCUAAUACCACGUGGAACUGACGGUACCUGCAAAAGAAGCACCGGCUAACUACGUG
rnacentral:rRNA from 1 species